UCUUCCCUUCCCUCCUCGCCCCUCCCCCACCCUAUCGAGCUCCCUCCUCGCCGGACCCGGGUCCGGUUCCGGUUCCGGUUCCGAUUCCGGGUCCGCUUCGAAAUCCAGAUCCCUUCGUGUUGGCUUCUGCGACUCGAUAAAUGGUGCAUCUAGGGCUUCUCGCUUCGCCGAUCCCGUGGGUUUAAUCCUGAUCGAUGUGAUGUAGGGCUUCGGAAUGUGGCUCUAGUUCUUGAUUGCUCAUUGCUCUCUGUGCUCGGUUUGCGGUUUCCACUUAAAUUCCCUAUUCUUCUCUUGAUGAUCUGUCACGUAUCUGUAACUUGCGACAUUCUCGCCAACCGGUGAUGCUAUCGUUGCUGGAAUCUUAUUACGGGCGUCGGAAACGUAGCUGAUCGUUGUCUGUUCGAAAUGGUCAUCCUGCCUUCUUCUUUUCCGAGCAGAGAUGGAUCCUUCCCUUUCCAGAUUUCUUUAUGGUAUGAUCUAUCUAGGCAUCGAAUCAGUUGUUUGGCAUAUCAAUACAUAUUUAGUUUGAUUGAUCAUUGCUAGAGAAGAAUCGUUAAGGGCUGUUUUCUUUGAAUUCAUUGUUUGAUUGCAUGAUCCACGAGUCAAUUAAGUCGUGGUUUCCUAGAACCAGCAGAGCGAUCGUGGUAAUCCAGUUUAGCUGAUGUAUCUGAUCUCCCGAGCAUUAAUUUUGUGACCGAAAGAAGAGAUAUUGGAAUAUGAUAUCAAAUUGAACAAGUGAUUCCUGUCUUCAGUGCUUUGUAAUCAAGUAUGUUUGUUCUGAAACACUAUAUCUUGUUGUUAAUUGCAUGCUUGUCGGAUUUGUGGAUAAUAUCUUCUGGGAAAACAAUUGCAAUUUUUCUUUCGUCUGUCAUUUUCCUUUCCAACCAUAAAGUCGUGAUUACAUGAUCAUACACUGCGUGUUCACUUUGAUGCUAGAGAUAGCCCUGAGUUGAUGGAGGGUUUAGGGCCUUUUAGAGGAUCCUGAUGAACUCUACUAUCAGAACGUUAAUUUUAUAGAUUGUGUACUGUGGAGUUUGAUAUAGGACGGUUCUUCAUUGAAUGUGUUUGUCAGCUGGGCUAAGCAUUCAUUUAAACACCAAAGAUGUGAGGUUACAGUGUUGGUGACCUCAAAAUGGACCAGAUACCAUAUAAGACUAGCUAGCCUAAGCAAACUAUGACCUUAGAUUAGAUUGACAGGAGCAACGUACAUUUCUAUGUAAUUAUAUUUAUAUAAGUGAGGCAGAUCGGCGUCGGCCCUCCGGGUUAUCACGGUCAGCAGCUGUUAAAGAGGUAUGUUUUACCUGUUCGGGAGCCUCCCAUCAAAGGUACUGAGCUUGUAUUCUUUCUCUGUUCUCUUCCCACCACAGCUUAGCGCGCACCUCCCCGAACCGUUCUCGGCUGAGGCAAUCGGCUCUCGUCAUCAGCGACUCUUGCAUGGCACAUGAGGAGGAGGAAGGGGAAAAAAGAAAAAGAGAUCAGAGAAUGUCUCACCUGAAUCGGACACGGCGAAGCUCUCGGGUGCCAUCUGGCAGCUCACGGAUGGUGAUGCGCACGCCGGGUUCGUCUUGCUCCACCCACUCAGUCACGUCGAGAUCGCUGGCAUUGCUGAUGGAGACGGAGGCUCUGGAGGAGGUGGUGGUUCUCGACGCGUCCAUGGAGGAGCAUUCUCCCUUCACACCCGCUGCGGGAGCAGUGGCGAAGGCCGCAGGAUAGAAGUACUGUGGGAGGAGGAGAUGUUGGGAAGGAUCUGGGACAGGCGGGCAGUAGGCCCCUCUCCCAGAGGUGGACGGUGGCCCGUACGUGCUUUUGCUGAGUCGCUCUUUGCCGGUUGGGGGCAGGUUGACAGGGCUACUUUGGCUAUCCCUGGUGUAGAAUGGCGGCGAUGACUCCCUCUGCAGACACAAGUCAAACAAACUGUUGAGCGAUUUUUGUGGCACGUGGUCAUUACCGUGGUGGAACAUGUACGGUUUUGCCAUGGAGGAGGUUGCUGGCGAUAUCUGUCCGUGGUCUCUAGCCCUCCUAUUCCUUUGUGUGCUUGAGGGCAAUCCAGUGGGCUCAUAGGGAAGCAAUGAAACCCACACUCGCACCCACCUUUGGGAUGGAGAUUGAAGUUUACAGUGACUAACGUCCUGUACAUGUAAAACUUCACAUGGACGACAGGGCAAAAGAAGGAUUUGUUCUUUCUUUUACGCACGAGGUUUGGGGUUUGGGCCAUUGGCGAGGACGAACGGACUGCUAAAGCUGCCGGCUUCGAAAGCCUGGAUGCAUGUGCUUGAAAACCUCUCUCUCUCUCUCUCUGAUCAAUGGGUUGAUUAUGAUGAGUGUUACUCUC